GGCAAUUUUUUCACCUUCUCUGGACUGGUUUGGAUUUGACGUGGCUGGGAGAGACUUUCGGUUUUAUUUACCUUUGUUAGGGUUGGUAGGUGAAGAUGAUGGUGGUAUUGAUGUAAAAAUAUGUAAGUCUUUACCUAUUUACUUUUGUGUUGGUUUAUAAGAUUUUCUUUUUCUUUGUUUAUCUUUUGAUGUAGGUAGAAGAAGGAUUUGGACUGAGAAAGAUCUCCAUAAGAUUAUCUUCAACUCUAUCUUUUUCAUGUUCUUGUAUGAUAUUGGAAUUUGGAUACUAUGACAUAUUUGUUGUAACUUUAUUGUAGUGUUUGGUUUAGGGUGUUAGUUGUAGUUGUAUAUUGUUGUAGUUUGUAUUGUUGGAUGAUGAUGUGUUGUAUUGUUAGUUUUAUGCUCUUA